UAACAUUGCCUAACAAAAAUGAAACCAGAUGCUCCGCAGGGCGUAGCUUUAUACGACCGCAGAGGUUGAACCCUGAACGGUUAGGGCAAGUAUGGACACAACAUUCAAGCUGGAUUCAGCUCUAAAUUUGGAUUGUGAUUAAAUAGUUGACACAGCAUAGGUUUCUGACACAGAAUGAAUGUGUUCUAAUGAACUUAAAAUUUUUGUUUCUCUUAAGAGCAAUUCACUAUGCUGUUGAAUAUUAAUCCUCUCAAAAAAAUGUUUGAAGAAAUUUCUUUUUUAUUUAUGAAAUUUCAAAUGAGAAAAAUUG
rnacentral:lncRNA from 1 species